CGUGGGUAACCUGCCCAAGAGACUGGGAUAACACCGGGAAACAGAUGCUAAUACCGGAUAACAACACUAGACGCAUGUCUAGAGUUUAAAAGAUGGUUCUGCUAUCACUCUUGGAUGGACCUGCGGUGCAUUAGCUAGUUGGUAAGGUAACGGCUUACCAAGGCAAUGAUGCAUAGCCGAGUUGAGAGACUGAUCGGCCACAUUGGGACUGAGACACGGCCCAAACUCCUACGGGAGGCAGCAG
rnacentral:rRNA from 1 species